GACGACAGCCUCCCAGAGCCUUCAAAGUCACCACCAAACAAGCCGUCGAUCCCAACGCAGCCAAUGAUGCAGGCAGAGGGAACCAUGUGCUUAAAACAGCUGAUAAGCAGCAGGGUGGCUCCAGUGGCGUGGUGAUAGCCGUGGUGGUGUGUGUCCUAAUGCUGCUGCUGCUGGUGGCACUCCUCUACUUCCUCAACAAGAAGGGCAAGCUGCCCUGCAGCAAGAAGGAUGAGAAGGAAGUGGCAAGUGGGGAUGUGAAUAAUGACAUUGUGGUGGAGAUGAAGACAGAAAAGGCCAAUGAAGAAGCUGGCCUCUUGAACAAGCCAGCAGCACAGCAGGUCAGAGGGCAGGGGUCACUGGC